rnacentral:tRNA from 1 species
GCCGCGGUGGCGGAACUGGCAGACGCGCAUGGUUCAGGGCCAUGUAGGGUCACCCCUGUGAGAGUUCAAAUCUCUCCCGCGGCA